GGUACAGGGAAACCUGAUAAUCCUGCAUGUAACAUAUACGCUGGGGAAGAAGCAGACCCUGUAAAUCCCCCCUGCCAGGUCUGCACUGAAGAGGCAACGGGCUCAUUUCUGCUGCGGAGGCUAGCCUCUGCAAAGUGAGUAAAUUGAAUAUAACCAUAUAAUGGUCGUGUCAUUUACGCAAAAGACCGAGGAGCACCAGCUGGAACGGAGGGAAUGAGAGUGCUGCCAACCUCCUUCAGGAUGAACGCUCCUCAGAGUCCUUGAUUUGGUCCUGGAGUGCAAUGCAGACCGAGGGCCUGCUCUCCGACGAGCGUGCUGUACUCCCUGCCCGUCUGCAGGGCCCAUUAGUGGUAAUGAGGUGGCUGUCUGCAGCCUCUCCCCGUGCCCGCAAAAGGAAAAUCAAACUCUUUCCUCUGUAUGGUCCCCACAGGCAAGAGCUGUAAUCCUCUCUCUGAAUAAAUUCCUGGCUCUGACCCUGUACCAUGGGGACAGAUCACAGUUUAAUGCCAGUCAUUUACAAGCUGAACACCAGGGACACCGAUGAGCAUGUACCAUUGCAGAUAACGGAAUGAGCUCCAAAACUGUCUGAGCCUUCU